ensembl:lncRNA
CCUGGCACCCGCCGCCGCGCUGCCCGCCGCGCCCGGCCUGGCGGCCCGCAUCUCUAACUGUUAAGGGGUUCGGAGUCUUUCCGAAGGUAGGAUCUGGGCUCUUUUUCUUUGCCGCUCGGAUGCCCGGCGGACGCACGGAGGAGCGGCUUUGCGCGGGAUUUGCGCGGGAUUUGCGCGCGGUUUGCGCGUUGGGGAUAUAUGAGGCCGUUCUCUGUGGCCGGCGGGUUGUCCGGGACCGGUCCGAUGCACAGCCAGGUCGGUGUGCUGCACGGGCAGGCGGUCACGCUGUUGGAAAGUUACUCGUUACUCCUUAAAAAAAAAAAGAAAGAAAGAAAGAAAGAAAGAGAGAAAGAAAGAAAGAAGAAAAAAAGUAAUAAUAAUAAAUAACGUCUCUAAACCGUCAAAGUUCAGAGAUUCUCAGGUCUAGGAGCUUGAAAACAGUGAUUUACAGGAACAGAGAAGGCUUGAGGGAGGACAGCAAAGCAAUACUUUUUCAUUUUAGUACACUUGUCUCAUGUACUUUUAUAAAAGAAAAGAAAAGAUUAACAUGUUUACACAGAAGAAAAUCAAGAUUAUCAUUUCUUAUUUUAACCUGUGUUUUGUAUUAUAAUAGGCUUACGGAGUUUUUAUUUUGUACUUUAUGCGUAUUCUUUACAAGGAAUAUUGUUAAAAAUUACUGGCAAGUAUUAUUGUACCAUUUUAAUGUAAGAUUUUUACACAUUUUCCAAAAUAAAAUUUUUAAUUUUCAAAAUAAUAAUAACGAUAAUAACAACAAUAACAAUUGGAGAACCAAAGCAAAAGACCCAAGGAGCCCUGCCAGGCAGUUUGUUUCGGCCCUUUUCCUCCGCUGUACUUCUCCCAUCCUCGGGACAUCUCCCUCCCCGUCUCUCUGUGCAGAGACAUCGUGGUGUUUUUCCUGGGGAAAUAUCGCAGCGGUCAAAUGAUUUUUAGCUUGAUAUUCCUUACGAUGGGUCUGACCGCGGAGAAGAGGGUCUAAGUGCGACCUUCGAUGGCCCACCGUCGGUCCCAGCAGAGAGUUGGGGGCUGGAGGGGGGUGGGGGGGGGUGGAUGGAGGAGGUGAGGGUAGAGAGAAAUAAAUAAAUGAAGGGAUGCGGUAAGAGAGAUCCGGGACAAAAGAGGGAAUAAACAGGAGCAGAUCUCUCUCAGGGAGCGAAGCCCGCCCCGCACAGCGCCAAGCGGAGCGCCGAUCAAAAAGACGGUUCGAAACUAUUUUACACUCCGGGGUGAAUUCUAAAGCGGAACGGCGUCGGGGCUGGGCCUCCCGGAGGCCCAAAGGAAAAUAGUAAUGAGGGGCACGCACGGAGCUUCCGAGAUUUGUCAGAGCCUCUUCCAUUUCUGUGACGAUAACGAGGACAUGUGUUUCUACUUUUCGAUUCGUAUGAAAUCGUGGAAAUUAUGAUCAUGGCCAAAUGCUCCCUGCACGGGAACUUGCUAACCAAAGCAGAUCCGCUCCUCAGCUGGCCCGGGCCGCAGAGAAGUGCCGCCCGCGUCCCAGCGGAGCUGCUCCCGGCAGAAGAGAAGAGCCGCCGCCCGGCCCGACUCUCCGCCGAGGUCCGGAUUCGACCUAAAAGUGAGGAGAGGCAAAGCCCGGCGCUGGGAGAUGGGUGGCCCCGCGGCGAACAUUGCUGCGGCCCCGCGGAUGGCCGCCGCCGCCCCUGCGCACCCGCAGCCCGCACCGCGGAGGGCGGAGAGUCGCAGCUGGGCCUCGGCAUGCCCAGGAAGCAGGACGAGUUAUAGACUGGGCUGUACGCAUUACCGAUGAUCAUUUAAUGCAAGAUCUAUACGAUUUUAGAAAUGGUACCACUGAAUUCAGCGGGAAAAUCAUAGAGGGAAUGUGUUUUGUUUUGUUUUGUUUUUUCAAACAAAAAAAAUAAUUAAACUAGCCCUUUCUCCAAACCGCAAGAGAGUUGUUGAAUUGAUUCUAAGUUUCCCUUUCGCCGAUGGAGCAAAACGGCAUGCAGAAGUCUGCGGGGCCCCAUAUUUAAAUGAUAAAUUAUGCAACUCAUGUCGGGAGCAAAAGGAUAAAUAAGGGUUUCGGUUGUUGCAAUAACUCGUUCUCAGAAGCUGGGGUAACCCUACCCACCAUCGGCCAGGACGUAUUUCUCUCCCGUAGGGCGGCAGAAAACC